UAUCUACAUUUUAUAUUGACGUUUAAAUAAAAAAAAAACACAUUUAGCCGCACACUGUGUGUUUAUUUCCAAUGCUAAUUUCAAAACGAAAGCAGAAUUAAAUUGUGAUUGAAGUGCAUGGAUUGAUAUUAUUUAUGAUUUGCCGCGAAAAUUAAGAUAAUUUUUAUUGAACUUUUCUAAAACCAACAUGAUGAUGACAUCAUGAUGUAUAUUUAUUUUAUUUCUUUUUAUUUGCCAUUUCAUAUUAAAGUACUGAACUCGGUUAUAAUUUUUGGACCAUAAAAAUGACAUUAAUUGACAUUUAUACGAGAAAAAAUGAAGGUCGACGUCGAAAAAUGAAGGUCACCCACGGAAAUUCGGCAAUUCAAACUAAAUAAUGGAUUACUUUAGAAUCAAAGUUCACGACGUGCAGAAAAGAAUGAAAGGAAUUAAAAUGCUUACCAGAACUAUGGAUUGUGGAAUGACUGCUUCAAAAACCUUGAAAUUUCAAUCUGAAAUAUUUAUUACUGGUAAUUGUCUAUGGAGUAAGUAAACGUCACUGAAAUGAGAAAAAAUUUAAAACACAAAUUACAUAAUUUUAUUUUGAAUUUAAUUUAUUCUAUAAUUGAACAUUGAAUAGAACUUAAGCAAGAACAAUUUCUAAUGAAUUCUUAUUAUUGAGGAUUACGUAUCAAUGUUGUCAAGUUAAUCGAGCAAAAGACAGUAGGUAAAAAUAAUGGUAACAAGUGUUUUUUACAAUGAGGUUCACACUUUUGCAUUAAUACUCGUCAAAAUCGUGCCAUAAUUUGGCAUUUUCUAUUAAAUUAUUAAUUGCAUUUCCAAAAUGGUCGUUUUCGUAUUAAUUUCAAAUUUCAGAUACAACAUAAAAUAUUGGUGACUGCUGUUUAUUUUUUUAUACAGCAGUAUGACGUUCAGUUGAUUGUUGUCUUCGAGAUGUGCCAUUUGAACCGUAUGCGAUUGCAUGUGAUCGAACAGCACCUUUACCUAAAAUAAUAAUUUACCACAAAAUAAUAAAUUUUAAAAGCAUACUUGGAUUAGAUAAUGAAUAUAUAUAUGAUUUGUAUAUAUGAACCCAUUUUUUUUACCAGUUGAAUAGGCAUUUGCAACGGCAAUUGUACCGCCAGCAGCACGUCCAAAGCUAACUGGGAAAAAGGUGUAAACUGGCGAUCCUCCGUUUCUUAAUGGUUUGCCUGGCUUUUGUGGUGCUGUUGUUGGUUGCACUUGUACUUGUGGCUCUUCAGCAGCAAUAACUUUACUUUCUGGUUCUGGGGUAAAUGGAGCAAGUGGAACAACAGGUGCAAUAUUUUCGGUGGAGUCAUUAAGUGUUUCGGAAACUGCUGGUACGACAUUCAACGGAACAACUUCAUUGUAUUGAUCUUCACCUUGAUCAAAUUGAACAGUUCCUUGAAUAGGUACUUCUGGAUAGGCUUCAGCAAUGGCCUCAACAUUACCAUCAUUGGACGAUUGCUCUUGAGCAACAGCAUGUGGGACAUCCUCAGCGGGAACUUGAUUUUCUAUCGAACAAAAAACAACAUUUUGCAAAAAUUAUGUUAAAUUAUUAUUAUAACCUAACCUAAGUAUACCUCUAACUACAGUUCCAGCAGCUAUAGAAUCACCUAGGGCAAAUGCACUUGUACUACCAGCUGAACGGCCAUACUGAGAUGGUGCAUAGUGCACAAACAUUGCUUGAUGGUAUGGAUGAUAGUAUGGCAUGUUGUAGUAUAACAUUCCUUUUUAUCGAAAUAAAAAUAGACAAAGAUCAAUAAAUUGAAUUUCAAAAGAA